GCGUGGGUAGCAAACAGGAUUAGAUACCCUGGUAGUCCACGCCGUAAACGAUGAGCACUAGGUGUCGGGACAUGAGUCUCGGUGCCGCAGUUAACGCAAUAAGUGCUCCGCCUGGGGAGUACGCACGCAAGUGUAAAACUCAAAGGAAUUGACGGGGACCCGCACAAGCAGCGGAGCAUGUGGUUUAAUUCGAAGCAACGCGAAGAACCUUACCAGGGCUUGACAUUUAGGUGAAGCGGCGGAAACGUCGUGGCCGAAAGGAGCCUAAACAGGUGGUGCAUGGCUGUCGUCAGCUCGUGUCGUGAGAUGUUAGGUUAAGUCCUGCAACGAGCGCAACCCCUAUUUCUAGUUGCCAGCACAUAAUGGUGGGAACUCUAGAAAGACUGCCGGUGAUAAAUCGGAGGAAGGUGGGGACGACGUCAAAUCAUCAUGCCCUUUAUGUCUUGGGCAACACACGUACUACAAUGGCCGUUACAGAGAGAAGCAAUACAGCGAUGUGGAGCAAAACUCAAAAAGCGGUCUCAGUUCGGACUGUAGGCUGAAAUUCGCCUACACGAAGUCGGAAUUGCUAGUAAUGGCAGGUCAGAAUACUGCCGUGAAUACGUUCCCGGGCCUUGUACACACCGCCCGUCACACCAUGAGAGUUGGGAAUACCCGAAGCCUGUGAGCUAACUUUUUAAGAGGCAGCAGUCGAAGGUAGAAUCAAUGAUUGGGGUGAAGUCGUAACAAGGUAGCCGUAUCGGAAGGUGCGGCUG
rnacentral:rRNA from 1 species